ACAAGACCGUGCUUGGCUAGGGAAUUCUGGGAUUUGAAGUCCAGGCAUCUUUAGCAUCUGCUAAAGUUAAGAAUCUCUGCUUUUAACAGAUUGCCUUUUCUCUCCAGCAGGUCUUCCUAUUUCUGGAGUUGUUCGUAGAACUUACAUAGAUCACUGGUGCUUGAGGCAUUUCAACUGCAACUUCUACACAAAUCAAAGUUUCUACACAAAUCAAAGAUAAAUAGCAAAUUCUAUAAGAAGUCAACUUGCAAGAUUAUCUGAAUUGAGUUUGAGCCUGUUGGUCCCAAGUAAGUAAACAAGAUUCUUUAAAACCAUCUAUGUUUUGCUUUCCUGCCUCACCUGAUUAGUGAAAGAUUUCAGGCAUGUAACAGGCUAGUAAUCAGUGGAACCUUGGGAGAAGCAGUGGUGAAUCUUUCUUUGAGGAGAGUGGUAGUAUCCUCUUUCCUCAAAGCCUUAUUGCUAUUCCAAUUGGGGAGUAGAGAAGCUCUACUCUAGAAUUCUCCACUGUGGACUGCAAUAACCAUAAUGAUUUCAUCCCAUUUUGGAGCUCCUGUUAUGACCUGGCUCAGGUUCAGUACUAGCAGGACAUUCAGUACUGGCUCUGGGUACAGAAGCCAACCAAAUUCAUUAAGUUUCCAUUUUUGUUUCUGGCCAGGAUAGAACUCCAGCAUAAAGAAUUGACUCAUAAUCUACAGAACUAUUUAUAUUCACAGUUCCUGCUCAAAGAGCAGAUGGCUUCCAGCUUGUGUCCCUUUUAUGGCAAUUUCUGGGUCAGUAAGCUAUGCUAAGGGGCUUUGUUACCAUGUUCUUUAUUAUUGCAAUGUUACAAUGUACUCUACCUUGGGCUUCACUUGGAGAUCACAAGCUUCAGCUGGUCUAUAAUGUAAGGACUUAAGUAAUGUCAAGCAAAACUUGAUUUAUCUAUGCUAUACCUAUAUUUAGAGAGCUGCCCUGCUAAUCAAUUUCUGGCUACAUUUCAAAAUGCUAGAUAUCACCUUUGAAGUCACGUAUGACUCAGAAGCUGGCUAUCUAUGAGAUCACCUAAUCCAAGUAUCAAACUCCAAAAAAAUGAUUGCUCUGAGUGUCGAUUUCUAGGGAUUGUUGUGACUGGGGAAUACAGGGGCAGAUCUUCUCUGUCACUGUUCCCCUUCUCUAAAACUGCAUAUGCCGGAGAUAGAACCCUACCCUUGCCAGGUUCUUAAGAGCAAUUAGGACCUGGUGCUUCUAAAGGGCCUGAGAGCUGAUAUGAAUAUUUGUUUGUCCUUGAACAGAGGUAUUUGUCACUUUUGUUUUGACUUUCCUUUAGUGGCACAUUAUAAUGGGCUAUUUUUUGAUUUUAAUAAUUUUGCUAGGCAUUGGAGUUUAAGUGGCUCUGAGUGCUUUAAGACAGGAGCAUCAUGUAAGUAUCAUCAAAUAAAUAACUCACCCUAUAUCCAGUUUCAAAUUAAUUGAGAAUUUGCCUUGGUACCAGUGAGGGAGAUACAAAAGGAUGUUAGAGAUAGAAAGAAAAGGUUUGUACAUUAUUUAACUGAACAGCACCAGUCACAGCAACAAAUUAUCCUAAUGUGAAAAACAUUUCAGAGGAAAAGUUAAUUACUUCAGUGUAGUCAUUGUUUUGAUAUUCUGAGUUUAUCAGCAUUCUUUUUAGGUACCCAGUUGUGUCCAGAUCUGCAGCAAAUGAUCACAGAUACUUAUCUUAAAUUUAAAUGUUCACAAACAAUCAUAGUAUCAAUUUUACAUACAAAAAUCAUGUAAAUAUUAUACAUGUCAAUAUGUGUGAUUUGCCUUUAAUUUCCCUGUAAUUUUAUGUUAAGCACAAAUUAUUACAGAACACUGUGGAAGUACAGAAAGUACUGUAGUAUUGUAGUAUUUUUUGCCUGCUGAUCUACCAAAUUAGAUGUUACAUGCAGAUAUACUGAACUCUUUCCCAAUGCCUUAGAUUUUGCCCCCCCCCCCCCUUCUCCAAAGCAACAUCUUACUGACAAACAGGAAGGCAACCGUGGCAUGGAAUGGUUAACCAUUUUCUGACAAGUUCUUUGCCAUGUGAAAGAAAAAGCUGCAAUUUGGAGGGGUUGAAGUGGAGCAGAAAAAAGUCUAACCAAGAAAUGGCAAAGUCUUUUGGUUUGUGUCGUCCCACCGCCGCCCUAGUGGUUGGUACCAAAAAGGUAUUAAGAACAAGUUGCUAUCAGAAAAAUCUACUUUGGUUAAAAAUUUUAUUUAUUAGUCUUAAACUAGUCCCCAAUGGUCGGAAGCCCAUUACACCAAUAGAAAUUUCCUACACAUGAAGGAAAUAAGAGGAACAUAAAACAUAUUUUAUAUUAAGUCAUGUUAAGCAGCUAAGCACCAAGCCCUGCUUAGUAACUAGUAAAAAUUCCCAGGGCCCCUGGCCAAAGCCUUUUUUUUUUUUUUUUUUAGCUCUCUGACCACUUCAUUAUUUUAAUUAGACUCAGGAAGACUGAAUCUGGAAUUUU